rnacentral:lncRNA from 10 species
AACAUGUUUGACCAGAGAACUCACUUUUUUGGGGGCAUAUUAUGAGACUGGAGUUUAGAAAGGGUUCAUUUUGAGGAAAAUCAUCUUAAAAUCUUUAUUCAUGUCCCUCCUCGACUAAAAAGACUUUUAUAGGCUCUCUAUUGCCUAUAAAAGUAGCCUGGCAUUCAAAAUCCUUCAGGAUAUAACCCCAAUCUAGCUUCCCAGAUCUCUUUCCUCCUGUUCUCAUGAGAGCUUCUGCUGCAGCCCCCCAACAAAUUUGCUAAUUCUUUCCCCUCCAUCUUUGUGCUCAUCCUCCAAUUCUCCAUGCUUGGAAUACCCCUCCCUCUGUAUUUUUGGAUCCAUUAUCCAAUCUCCUUCCAUUUUGACUUUAGGUCAAAGUCCCAUUUCUUAUGUAGAGUCUUAUCUAGCUCUGAGUUCUUGCAACUGACAUAUUGUGGUAUUUUAGCCAUUUCCCCCUCAAUAAAGUACAUGGGACAGACAUAAUUGAUUUCUCUUUUCUUCUUGGCCCAGAGAGUAGUGUCUUCAUCAUUUUUGUGUGUGUGUUGACCUUUAACCUUGAUGAACUCUACAAACUUCUCUUCCUACUGAUACACUUGAAAGCUGGUUUUUUCCUGUCACACUACCAGCAACCAGAAGAGCUCCUGGUAUGUAGAAUGUGCUCAGUAAAUAUUUACUGAAUAACCACGAUUAAUUUUGCAAAAGAGGAAAAAAGAAGUUCAAAGGUAUUACGCCACUUCCUCAAGGACAUACACAUAAUAAGUGGAGCAGUUGAGACUCAAGCUCAGGCUGCCUCACUCCAGUAUCUCUUAUCGAAGUCACUACUCCACUGUCUGUCUUAUUUAUGAUAACCUGCUAAUCCAGAAAGGUAUAUGGCAUAUAGUAGUUGCUUUAUAAAAUGUUUGUUGAAUGAAAGAAUAAAUAUUUUUUCCUUUUUGUAUCUCUAAUAUCAGCUCAAAGCUUGAUACAUAGCAGGUACCCAUUAAAUGUUUGUUGAAUGACAGUAUGACUGAAUGGGGCUUGCAGUAGCAGAGAACGGUGGAUAACUCUUAUCUCUGCUCCAGACUGUGUUGUGACCUACAGCAAAGACAUUGCCAAGAAGCUCCAUACUUCUUUCAGGACCACAGACAGAAAGCUAGGUUCAUUUCUCUCUCCAGGCUGCCCUUCUGUCCUAGAGGAGAGAUUGUUCUGUGAAAUAAGCCAGCCCUAGGUUGAAACCUUGCCAGUCAUCUGCUGUGGAUCUAAGACAAGUCACAUGUUUACCCACUGUAAAAUGGUGAUAAGUCCACCCUCCUUAUAGGACAGUAGUGAGAAAUCAAUGAAACGAUGGGCAUGGGGAGCUUCAUGCCAUCCCUGGCACAGAGUGGGCACUCAAAACAUAGCCAGCUCUAUUGCCCUGUGGCUCAGGAGCUGAGAAAUGGAGGACACUGUCCCUGGUGGGGGGCUCUGGCCAUCUGUCCUCCCAAGCUGCUGAUCGUUUGCGGCUUCUCUGCUUCCCUUCUUUGCCUGAUUAAGCCAACUGAUGGCUCUGUUUGGCUUCAAUUUGCCAGCCGUGGCUCCCCAUCCAUCUUUCUUAGCACAAAUGGAAGCUUAAUUCCUCCCUGAUUUCACACAUAGAUAAAAAUUAAUGUGAGAGAGGCGUGAAGACCAACUGCCCUAUGGUUUGGAAUUUUAUCUUUGUUUAAAAAAAAGAAAGAAAAAUUCUGAAGGGCCUUGGGGGAACAAUACUGUAACAAUUGAAUCUCAGAAUUUAUCAUUAGCUCUCAUUUCCUUUUUGAGCUCCACUUGGCUAUGAAUAACUGGAGGGCAGGAAUUAUGUCUCAUUAGUUCCAAUAUUCUCUUCACACAUGGCUCAUAGCCUGGCACAUAGUAGGUGGCAGGGCAACCUAUACUCUCUCAACCACCAUCAGGACUUUUGAGAAUUCUAAAAGGGUUUUGCUCUCUUGAUAGCUGAAGAUGGCCAAGGCUGUGCCCACUGGUGCAGGGACAGUGCGUUACAAACCAGUGCUUCUCCAGGUGUAAUGUGCAUAUGAGUCACCCAAGGGCCAUGUUAAAGUGAAAAUUUUGAUUCAUUUGGUUUUGCAUGGGGCUCAGGAUUAUGCAUUUCUAAUAAUUUUGCUAGUCCGAGGACCACACUUUGAGUAAGGAAGCUGUAAGGGGAGGAGCUCAGGAGAGAAGGGAUCUGGACUAAGUUCGCCACUUCAAGUAUGUUACUUCAUCUCUCUAAGCCUCAUUCUCUUUGCCUAUGAAAGUGGUAAUCUUAUCUCCCUGAGUUCAAGUGAAAUAGUAGAUAUUGUCCACCUUGAUUUCCAUGGAUCCACUCUGACCAUCCUCAAUCAUUUUUGCCAAAUAGAAGUCAGAAUGAUCACCCUUAUGCUUAAAUUUUUCCAGAUAUCUCCUACCUAGUCCACCUGUCUUCUCAUGACCUUGAGCAAUACAGUUUCUGACCACUGCCCCAGCCUCCUGUCCUGAUAUUUUCUCUGCAGUUUAGUCAGAUUGAUCUUAUUUAUUUAUUUGCUUUCUCAAACUCAUCGAGUUCCUUCUGACCUCUGAACCUUAGCAUGUGCUAGUGCAUCUGCCUGGAAUGUUUCCCCCUUCUCCCCCCCAUUUUCCACCCUCAGUCUAUUUCCUACUCAACUUCCAAAUCUUGGAGUGUUAUCAGGUAAUCCUUCCCUGACCCUUCGCUCAUCACUGUCCUCCUCCCAGGUGAGGUCCUCUAUCACAGCUUCUUCCUGUAUACCUUUUCUGCAUUGCAACGCCUCUCACAAUAACUGAUGUCCUCUCCAUCCUCACUCUGCAUCAUUCCACCAUGUGAAUUUCUUUCCUGGUCCUUAACACAAUCUGUUACCAGCAUGUUUGCAUCCUUGUUUACUCAUUUACAUACUACAGCCUCACCUUGACUGGAAACUCUGUGAGAGCAGGAACUGGGUCAGGGUCCCUGCAAUAGCUCUAGCAACAGGUGCAAUGCCUACCACACAGUGGGCGCUCGGCGGAUGUUUGUCGAAUGAGUACCUAGAUAGGAAAGGCUCUGAAUGACAAACAACGCCCAACAGGUGCUUAAAAUUCCUUCUGUCCUCGAAGUCUCAGAUUCUGUCUGCUGGCUCAGAAAGCCCACUUCUUUUUACUAGAGGGCACCAGACUGUGUCAGCAGGCUACCUCCAACAAUUUCUACAUGGAGGCUUUGAGUAAGUGACUUCACCUACAUGAGCCUCAUCUGCAAAAUGGGGAUAAUGGCUCCCAUCCUAUGGCAUUGCUGUGAGGAUUAAAUGCAGCCUCUGGCACGGUGUGCAACACAUAUUGGCUUGGCUUGAAAAAUGGCAGUAGUUACACUCAGAGCACAAGAAAGAAAAGAAAAAAAUAUUUAAUUUUGCCAAAUGUAAAAGCUUUGUGCAUCAAAUAACACUGUCAGUAAGUGAAAAGACAACCCAUGAAAUGGGAGAAAAUAUUUGCAAACCACUUAUCUGAUAAGGGUCUAGUGAUCAGAAUAUAUAAUGAUUGCUUACAACUCAAUAACAAAAAGACAAACAACCUGAUUAAAAAAUGGAAAUAAGAACACUUUUACACUGUUGGUGGGACUGUAAACUAGUUCAACCAUUGUGGAAGUCAGUGUGGC